GGGGUUGUGGCUCAGUGGUAGAGUGCUUUCCUCGCAUGUGUGAGGCACUGGGUUCAAUUCUCAGCACCACA
rnacentral:tRNA from 1 species